UACGGGGGGGGCAAGCGUUGUUCGGAAUUACUGGGCGUAAAGGGCUCGUAGGUGGCCAACUAAGUCAGACGUGAAAUCCCUCAGCUUAACUGGGGAACUGCGUCUGAUACUGGAUGGCUUGAGUUUGGGAGAGGGACGCGGAAUUCCAGGUGUAGCGGUGAAAUGCGUAGAUAUCUGGAGGAACACCGGUGGCGAAGGCGGCGUCCUGGACCAACACUGACACUGAGGAGCGAAAGCGUGGGUAGCAAACAGG
rnacentral:rRNA from 1 species